AGAGUUUGAUCCUGGCUCAAAAUCAACGCUGGCGGCGUGCCUCAGACAUGCAAGUCGAACGCGAAAGGUUCCUUCGGGAACCGAGUAGAGUGGCGCACGGGUGAGUAACACGUAGGUAAUUUGCCUUCGGGUGGGGAAUAACUCAGGGAAACUUGAGCUAAUACCGCAUAAUGCAGCGGCUCGACAUCGAGACAGUUGUUAAAGCGGGGGAUCGCAAGACCUCGCGCCUGAAGAGAAGCCUGCGGCAGAUUAGCUAGUUGGUAAGGUAAUGGCUUACCAAGGCAACGAUCUGUAACCGGCCUGAGAGGGCGGUCGGUCACACUGACACUGACAUACGGGUCACACUCCUACGGGAGGCAGCAGUCGGGUAUUUUUGGGCAAUGGGCGAAAGCCUCACCCAGCAACGCCGCGUGAAAGAUGAAAUCCCUCGGGAUGUAAACUUCGUAAGAACAGGAAGAAUAAGUAGGGGACCAUACCCCCUAUGAUGACGGUACUGUUUGUAAGCUCCGGCUAACUCC
rnacentral:rRNA from 1 species